UACGAAGGGGGCUAGCGUUGCUCGGAAUUACUGGGCGUAAAGCGCACGUAGGCGGCUUUCUAAGUCGGGGGUGAAAUCCUGGAGCUCAACUCCAGAACUGCCUUCGAUACUGGAAAGCUCGAGUCCGGGAGAGGUGAGUGGAACUGCGAGUGUAGAGGUGAAAUUCGUAGAUAUUCGCAAGAGCACCAGUGGCGAAGGCGGCUCACUGGCCCGGUACUGACGCUGAGGUGCGAAAGCGUGGGGAGCAAACAGG
rnacentral:rRNA from 1 species